rnacentral:lncRNA from 1 species
CUGGAUCUGAGGGCGCAAAGUGUUCUGUAGUGAAUUCUGGCUAAUCUGUAGUGAUGAGCAGCAGAGGCGUGUGGUGGUUCGGUGGUGGUGCGUGUAGAGAUGUACAAACUUUUGGUGGUUGCGUGCAGCGAGUCCUAGGAAUCCAGUUCGGGUAGGUGAGAUCAAAAACCCUGAUGGUUUAUUAUUUUAGAUUUAAGGUUAAUUA